UUGCAAUUUCGGGCGACCACCAGGGCGAC
rnacentral:sRNA from 1 species